UACGUAGGGUGCGAGCGUUGUCCGGAAUUAUUGGGCGUAAAGGGCUCGUAGGCGGUUUGUCGCGUCGGGAGUGAAAUCCACUGGCUUAACUGGUGGCUUGCUUUCGAUACGGGCAGACUGGAGGUAUGCAGGGGAGAACGGAAUUCCUGGUGUAGCGGUGAAAUGCGCAGAUAUCAGGAGGAACACCGGUGGCGAAGGCGGUUCUCUGGGCAUGUCCUGACGCUGAGGUGCGAAAGCCAGGGGAGCAAACGGGG
rnacentral:rRNA from 1 species